rnacentral:rRNA from 1 species
GGCUCAGGAUGAACGCUAGCUACAGGCUUAACACAUGCAAGUCGAGGGGCAGCAUGAAGUUGCUUGCAAACUUGAUGGCGACCGGCGCACGGGUGAGUAACGCGUAUCCAACCUUCCCCUUAGUAGGGCAUAGCCCGAUGAAAAUCGGAUUAAUACCCUAUGUUUUCCAAUGAGGACAUCUGAGCUGGAACAAAGAUUCAUCGCUAAGGGAUGGGGAUGCGUCCGAUUAGGUAGUCGGCGGGGUAACGGCCCACCGAGCCAUCGAUCGGUAGGGGUUCUGAGAGGAAGGUCCCCCACAUUGGAACUGAGACACGGUCCAAACUCCUACGGGAGGCAGCAGUGAGGAAUAUUGGUCAAUGGGCGAGAGCCUGAACCAGCCAAGUAGCGUGCAGGAUGACGGCCCUAUGGGUUGUAAACUGCUUCUAUGCGGGGAUAAAGUGCGCCACGUGUGGUGUUUUGUAGGUACCGCAUGAAUAAGGACCGGCUAAUUCCGUGCCAGCAGCAGC